UCGAGAAUCAUUCGCAAUGGGCGAAAGCCUGACGAUGCGACGCCGUGUGAGCGAUGAAGGCCUUCGGGUCGUAAAGCUCUUUCGCCUGGGAACAAGAGAAGCCGGCUAAUAUCCGGCGGAUUUGAGGGUACCAGGUAAAGAAGCACCGGCUAACUCCGUGCCAGCAGCUGCGGUAAUACGGAGGGUGCAAGCAUUAAUCGGAUUUAUUGGGCGUAAAGGGCGCGUAGGCGGAUUGUUAAGUCAGAUGUGAAAUCCCGGGGCUCAACCUCGGAACAGCAUUUGAAACUACCGAUCUAGAGGGUAGGCGGAGAAAACGGAAUUCCACAAGUAGCGGUGAAAUGCGUAGAUAUGUGGAAGAACACCGGUGGCGAAGGCGGUUUUCUAGCUUACUCCUGACGCUGAGGCGCGAAAGCAAGGGGAUCAAACAGGAUUAGAUACCCGCGUAGUCC
rnacentral:rRNA from 1 species